rnacentral:RNase_P_RNA from 1 species
GAGGAAAGUCCGGGCUCUAUUUAUAAAAAUAUAGCUGUAUAAAAUACAGUGUAGGUAACUACAAGGAUAGUGCCACAGAAAUAUACCGCCUUUUUUUAUAGGUAAGGGUGCAACGGUUCGGUAAGAGCGUACCAGAAAUACUAUUAAAAUAUUUGCUUGGUAAACCCCGUAUUAGAGCAAAGCUAUUAGUAUACUUAGUCAAGUAUUUUUUAUAAGUUUUACUUGUUAUAUUCUAAUCACAUGUACUGCAUAAAGUAUGUAUUUACUUCAGAUUAAUAAUUACCCUUUUCAUGAUGAAAUUAUCAAUUUUUUCUGAAAAGAACUAAACCCGGCUUAU